UUUUUUUUUAUUUGUAAAAAAUAAUUUAUUUAGACAUCUGACAUCGCUGAUGAAUGCCAACGGCUCUGAUGGCAGAGA